AGGCGACGAUCCGUAGCUGGUCUGAGAGGAUGAUCAGCCACAUCGGGACUGAGACACGGCCCGAACUCCUACGGGAGGCAGCAGUGGGGAAUAUUGGACAAUGGGCGAAAGCCUGAUCCAGCCAUGCCGCGUGUGUGAAGAAGGCCUUUUGGUUGUAAAGCACUUUAAGCAGGGAGGAGAGGCUAAUGGUUAAUACCCAUUAGAUUAGACGUUACCUGCAGAAUAAGCACCGGCUAACUCUGUGCCAGCAGCCGCGGUAAUACAGAGGGUGCAAGCGUUAAUCGGAAUUACUGGGCGUAAAGCGCGCGUAGGCGGUUUGUUAAGUCGGAUGUGAAAGCCCCGGGCUCAACCUGGGAACUGCAUCCAAAACUGGCAAGCUAGAGUAGGGCAGAGGGUGGUGGAAUUUCCUGUGUAGCGGUGAAAUGCGUAGAUAUAGGAUGGAACACCAGUGGCGAAGGCGACCACCUGGGCUCAUACUGACACUGAGGUGCGAAAGCGUGGGGAGCAAACAGGA
rnacentral:rRNA from 1 species